rnacentral:misc_RNA from 1 species
AAAUUCUCAAAAUUACAAAUCUCUAAUGUUCUUCGUUUUAGAAAGAUAGAAGUUUAAAAAAGUGAUGGAACCUUUUAUCUUGCAUUACUAUAGAACUAUACUAAGCCUGCGACUAUAGUAGUGUAUAUACAUGUACAUUCGAAUCAGCUGAACUUAUUCUUUACGAAUACGCAUGCGCCUUAUGAAUUGGAACGUCAAAUGAGAAGAUUGAAUAACAUUACUCGGUAUCAUCAUACUAUAAUAUGUAAAAUAUCUUCCAUCCAAAACUAUGCAUAUAUCUUCGCGUAUUGUUUGCAGUCUAAUCCAGACAGUACUCAACUCCUGAGUAGUGACAUCACUGUAUUGGAUUAGACAACCUGUCGUAAAUAAGUGUUUGUUAACACAAAUGUGUUGCUUAUUGAAUACAUGUGACAUGUGACACGCUGUUCGCAAAUGUCUUCUCCUAUAUCCAUUAAACCUGUCGAAUAUUCCACUAAUUAUCAACGUUUCAGCGAUGAUGCCAACAUCUCACUUGAACCAGAUAUUACGCACCGAUCAUGUCCAAGAUAUGGAUCUAUAUUAUCAUGUUCUUCCACAGAAAAUCAUAUAAACUCUCCUAUGGAGAGUACAAGAACACCAGAACAGUUUAUCCAAAAAUUUGAAACAGACGAGGCAGAGAGAGAAAACAUGUCUGAAAAUGCAGUUCUUCCAUCACAUGAUUCUCUUUCGGAUCAUGAUUUACAUUGGGAAAUGAAUUAUCACGAAGCCGCAAUAUUUUUAGAGGAAGGCAGGAACAAUGAAAAGUUUGACUCUCAUCCGAAACAUCCAGAAGAUUUACCAGCAUAUCUUUUAGUUCAUAACAAUUGGUAUUAUGGAUUAGAUUUGUUGACCUCUCUCAUACUUUUGGCUUUAGCUUUUGUGGAAGAACCAGCUGUACCUUUGUUUGGUAUGCCAGUUUGGGCACAUGGAUCAAUAGAACUUUUUGCUUUAAUAAUCAUAGGUAUAGAAUUAGCUUUAAAAUUAAGAUGGAUUGGUUGGUUAACAAUGUUGAAACAUAAACGAACAAUGUUGAAGUGUGUUACAUUAGUCAUCAUGUUUAUAGAAGCUAUGGCAGUUUUAGUGCGGCAGUCAUCGCAUUUUCGUGUAACACGUGCACUAAGGCCUAUAUUUUUGGUAGACACAAAAUGCUUUGGAGGAGUAAGAAGAUUUAUAAGACAAAUACUUUUAACGUUACCACCGAUUUUAGAUAUGUUAGGACUACUUUUAUUUUUCAUAACACUUUACACUGUAUUGGGUUAUUACAUGUUCAGUGAAAUGAACAGAAAUUUUUCUACGCUGCAAGACAGUUUUGUUAGUCUCUUUGUUCUACUCACUACUGCUAAUUUUCCAGAUGUAAUGAUGCCGUCAUAUUCAAAAAACAAGUGGUAUGCAAUAUAUUUUGUAUCUUACUUAUCCACAAUGUUAUAUGUGAUGAUGAAUUUAAUGUUGGCAGUAGUUAAUGAAACGUUUACAGCAGCUGAGCGUGAUAAAUUUAAAAAAUUGUAUUUACAUAAAAGAAAAGCGUGUCAGCAUGCUUUUAAGUUAUUAGUUUCUAAACAGAAUCCAGACAAAAUGCGAUUUCGUCAAUUUGAAGGAUUAAUGCGAUAUUAUGCUCCGAACAAAAGUAUAAGAGAUAUUGUAUUAAUGUUUCGACAUUUGAAUACUUCUGGAAGUGGAUCCUUAAGUGCUGAAGAAUUUUUAAAUAUUUAUGAUACUAUAAUGCUUCAAUGGGAACCACAAUACUCUGCUGUGCCUUGGUAUCACAGUAGAUCACAACCAUUACAAAUUUUAUGUACUGGAGCUCAUGCUGCUAUUAGAUGGACAUAUUUUGAAGUUUUAAUGUAUGUAACAAUUGCUGCAAAUGGUAUUGCUAUGAUAAUACGGAUAUUAGAGCCAAAUGACAAUGUACAUGGUACUCUUCUAUUUGCUGCAUCUUGGGAUACUUUCCUUUUUGGAGGAAUAUUUGUUACUGAAGCAUUAAUAAAAGUCUUAGGUCUUGGAACAAGGCGAUACCUUAGUUCUGGAUGGAAUCUUUUUGAUUUGGGCACGUCAAUAAUGACACUUGUUGCAGCUUGUAUUUUAUGUUUAUUUCCUACAGCAACAUUCUUCGUGUUAUUCAGACCACUUAGACUGUUAAGAUUAUUUAAAAUGAAGAAAAGAUAUAGAGAUGUGUUUGGUACCCUGGUUAUUUUAACUCCUUUAAUGUCUUCUACUGCAGUAGUUAUGCUUGUUUUAUAUUACUUCUUUGCAAUUAUUGGAAUGGAAUUAUUCGCCGGAUAUAAUAUGCGAAAUUGUUGCAAAAAUACAACAGUUGAAGAUUUUUAUAAAUAUUCUGUCAAUGAAAGCACUACGCUAGGAUAUUAUUAUCUUAAUACUUUUGACAAUCUCAUAGCCAGUGGUAUGACUCUUUUUGAGUUAACAGUUGUUAAUAACUGGUUUAUUUUAAUGAAUGCAUAUGCAUUUACUGUUGGCAUGUACACAAGAAUAUAUUUUAUGAUAUUUUAUCUGGUGACAAUGAUUGUGUUAACAAUCGUGGUAUCUAGUUUUUUGGAAGCAUUUCGAUUUAGGAUACAUUAUAAGAAGUCAACAUCUAAGCGCGAUGAAGAAAAAAUGCUUCAUGAAGAAGUAGAAUUGAAAUGGGAUGAAUUACAAUGUAUGAUAGAAGAUUUUCAAAUUCUAGAAAAAUUGCGGCCUUUACUCAUAGUUGGUGGGACAACUAUUUUUAUUGGUUCACGGCCUCGAACACGAGAAGUAUUGCAAAGAAAAAUGUAUACAAAUGAAAUAAACGAAUGGAUUGCAGAAGCAAUACAAACAGAAAGACAGUGUUUAUUAAAUACUCAUAACCCGGAUGCAGAUUGUACAGAUGACAUAAUUUCUGAAUCAAAUCAUCUAGGAAUGACAGAAAAUUUGUGACACAUACAUCGCAAUGUAUCUAAUGUUGUAUAGUUAUAAUAAUAAAUUAAAUGUAUUUAACAGUUGUAUAUCUAUACAACAUGCUGGAUUAAGAAGGUUGUAACCUAAACCAAGUAGUACAACAAAUUAUAUGGUGAUUCAAAAAAUUUAACAUCCAGAAUACGAAUGAUUAUUACCUCAGGUACAAAAUAUAAUUUUCCUAUUUUUUCAGGAGGGAAUGAAUAUGCAGUAGCAUUAUCAGUUUAAAAUAAUUAUACAGAAUUUUCCCUUCAGAGCGGUGUAUUUUUUAUUUUUCUUU